ACGAAAACCGUUCGCGGUCCCGGUGUCUACACUCCCUGUCUUUCUUCCCUCUCCACUAGACGCAGAGGACUGUAAAAAGAAUUCUGUAGUCGGAGUCCUUGGCAGAGCCACCAGAAGGGGGCAGUGUCUCCUGGAAUGAGCAGCUAGGCAGCGAGACAAAGACAUCCUCAGUGAGUGUGGAGAAAAGAAAGGAAAAUAAGAAAUGUAUCUUUAUUUGUUUAAAUAGUUGGGACUCAGGAGCUGCCUGUUGCAGCCUGUGAAGCAGGGUAUCUCUGACUGAUGCAGGCUCUGAGGGGCGAGGGAAGCAGUCAGAGGAGACAGCAAGUUCUUCCCUGAAUGGUAGAUACAUCGGGACAGAGCAACUCUGCUACAGAUACCACCGGUCUAGUGCAGAAAAAUAUACAGUAAGAGGCCGUUGCUCUCCUAAGAACCUCGCAGGCUCAGCCAGCCCCUCCCUCUGUCCAGGUCUGCCGCUGCAGCAUUGGAUCUCCUCAGGAAAAGGAGCAGCAUUGCUAGUGAUGGCUGGUAGGGUGGGGCAGCUCUGCAAGCAGCGGAGUUCUCUGUGUGUCGACAGGAGCCCCGACAUGGGAUGACAGUACACCCCGAGGUCACUUCUUCAGGUCCAUCUCACCCAAGGAGGCGGGGCUCAGCAGAACAUGGAUGGACUGAGACCCUGCGGCUGGUGUGUGAGCUGUCAGUCCACCCACUUUGCCAUGAAGACCAGCCACAAGAGAAGCACUGAACCACGACUGGGCUGACCGAGUACCACACCAGACCCUAAGCCACUCUGCAGGCACAACAUCCUGUCACAGUGUUUCCUAUUCCACGUGAUAUUCAGGCCAUGUGUAACUCGGGGCGCACUGCUAUAAAGUGGUGGGUAUGCUACAUUCUAGCCACCUGUGUGCAACUGUAUCACACGGGACAACUGUCCCACACACCCUAAUUACAGUCUUGAGACACCUGACCUCACUGUCAUGCUGCCCUGGGACAAAAGGGAAAGCAAAGAGAAUAUUAACUAAUGACCCUUAAUCUCCUAUGCCCAUAGCCUGCUUCCAGUCUAGAGGAAAACCAGGCAGUCGGUGGGAGCUGCUAGGGUGUCACACACUGGCUCUUGUACACUAGAAGCCCUCUAGGGGGCACCCUAGUGUAACGUCCUCCAGUGGCCAGAGCUGCAGAUGCUAGCCCAGCUGGGAAAUAUUUUGGUUUAACUACAGUCCCUGGGCCAGAGAAAGAAUUAUUGUUCUGCUUAUCAAUAAGACAAAGGAUCUGUUAUGGUCUGACCCCAAACAUGAGCCAGCUGUUUCUGGAAACUCCUGAGGCUGCUGUCCCAAAGUCUCCCUACUCUCCCACCUUGACUCUGUUUCUGAGAAGCCCAGCCCAGCAGCUGGAGGCUGGGGACCAUGUGGGUAAGCAGGCCAUGAGCCACAAAGGGGUGGAAGUAAGAACAAUGUAUUCACGGUAAGGCUGUAAAGGUUUGGCUGUCCUAGACAGGAGCUCUGUCCCUUUUUAGUCAAUUCAGACCCUAAAGAGGCAGUGAUGAUGCAGACGAAGGGGAAUUAGGAAUUAAAAAUCAAGAACUAACUGAUACCCACCCCACAUCACUUUGCUCAGCAGAAGUAUGACUUAGAGGAGAUAUCUGUCCAUCUUGUUGCCAGGGGACUGGCCCAAGAGAAGACAGGAGAGAAAAAAAUUCAUAAGCAGACAUAUAUCACCAUCGACUCUGGUAAUGACCAAUAUGUGAUUUGCAUGGUGAUGGCCUUCUCCUCCUCCACCUGCACGCAGAUCCUUAGGGCUUCUCCAAAGAGCCCUAAACUUUGUGGUUUCUAUCUGGAACACACAGACUCCUGCCCUAAAUUCUCCACAUUUCCUGCUAUGAGAUCUGCAGAGAAUAGCCCAUGUUAAGGCUUGAGCUCAGACACAUAUGCCUGGCCAUGAACGCAGGGCAUGGGGCCCUUUGGUGGCUAUGCAGAUCCUUUCUUGAAAGAACUCUUCAUGCUGCAACUGUGUGGAUGGACAUUUGUGGAAAGGUUGGGGGCGGGUAGCCUAGGCAAACAAGAUGCCCUCUCUCUGUGAACAGAGCAAUAUUUACAGAGGGUGGAAGUGGGUGAGUUCCAGGCCUUCUCUGGCUGGGACCUUAUCCUUAGCAGCCGCACUGCUGGAGUACAGCCUGACAUCUGAGCUCCAGAAGGGUGAGAAAUACCAGGAGGAAACAGAGGAAGGUUGGGAUGGCAGCAGCCAGCAGGGGAUCAGAUGGCUCCUGGCUGCAGUGGGCAGGCUGAGACUGCUGUGGGACCAGGCCAAUGCCUGCUGUCUGACUGCCAGGAGGACCCCUUGCCUAUAUGGAUGCCUGGAAACCAUUCUGGGUAUCUGGAGGGUAGGAGUUCUAGUUUAGAAAGCCGACUGGGGUACACUCUGUACUUCUAGGGUCAGAAGCUAAGGGCUCUCAAACUUCAGGAUCACAGACCUGGAGUUGACCCUCCCUCAAGUACUAUGAAUUUCCAGAGAAAUUCAGUGCUGGACCACUGGACCGUUUUUGUCUUGCUCUCCCCAAGUGCAAAGGAGAUCUCAUCCAAGGGCAAAGUUCCGGCUCAGAGUGAAGCAGUGAGUCAGGCUGGGUGUGCCAAGGGCAUCUGGCAGGACCAAUGCCACUGGUUUUAUGGCGAACACUGCUUUGGGCAGACUUCCUGGCACCAUGCCAAUCUACUGGUCACUCCUAACUUGGGCAGGGUUCCUCUACCACUUAGGAGGCUCUCACUGCAGGGCUGGGUUUGCUCUAAGUAUAGCAAACCAUGUCCUGGUACAUAGGAAAGACAAUCUGUUUUGUCCCAACCUACAGCAUGGCAGAGGCAAGAAGACCACGGAUCUUCCCGAGUAGCCCCAAGUAACAGCAGCUAGAAGUGUUGUCCCACUGAGUGCACACCGUGAACUUCCUCUGCAGAUGCUUACAGGGACAGAGUCAUUAUCCAUAACGCUGACGUGAUGGGCAGAGCUGAGGCCUAUCUUGAGCUGACCACAUACGUGGCUUUUUGAAGGCCAACCAACAAGUGAAAGGAUCACAUAGACAUCUCUUUCAGAUGCCCAGCGAAAAGGUGAGCUGUCCAUUCAGUAACUUCCACCAAACUAAAGCUGGACUGGGGAUUUGUCUAUCAAGGAAUCAACUAUUUGGUCCACUUGGCCACUCUGUACCAGGGACAGGCAGCAAGUGGGAAAGCUUCCAUGACUGGAUGACUGGCUAGCAGUGCUCACACCUGCAGAAGACAGAACUUGUCCAUGAAGCUUGAGAACUUCUAUACCCUUUCAGCACCUUCUCCUCAUUGGCAGUAAGCAGAGAAUACAAGGGUAUGGACGGGCCAUGAGCAGGCUUAGGCUGCUGAAGUAUAUUUUUGGAAGGCCGGGAGCAGGCUGCCUGUGGGCCUAGGAGCUACACCAUGAACUCUGUCCAAAGAGAGUCUUCAAAAUUAAUGGCAUCCUGCUUCUAGGGCUGAGGAACUUGCUGGAGAAAGACAUCUAGGCUACAAACAAACUGUAAUACAGGCCUCAGUCUGGAUUUAUCCUGGUUCAAACAAUGGCUUCCAAAGUCCACCAAAGUGUGCAUACCUGCGUUUUCCCGAGGACAGAGCACAGAAAACGCUAGGGGCUAAAGGUGUCUAUCCCAGCUCUCUCUGAGAGAGCUGCUCAGACAAGGGAAGUAAUGUUUCUUACCUGUGGUACCUGCCUCAAGCCCAGCCCCGUAGGCCGACACCAGAGCAGGAUUCCCUGCUUGGCCUGGCUCUCCAACACGCACUUUGAAAGGGCUCCCGACCACGUGGCUGCCAUUAAAUUUGACGUCGAUCGUGUGGAUGCCAUUCUCAUGGGGGAUGAAGCGCACAGCGUACUUAUCUAGGAGAAGGAGGAGGAGAUACACAAGGUAAACGUGGAGGCUAAGCAGACUGGAGUUAAGCAGGGACACAGCAUUGCAAGCAACCUGAGCUAGCCAGUGCUGAAUCAUUUAAAGCCACCAUUCUGCUGGGAGCCUGGCAGCCAAAACACAGAUUUUGAGACUUGACCUGUGUCUCCAUAAUCAGCCCUUUGGGAAAGGCUUUGACUCUCUGGUUCUGCUAUGUCCUCAGACUCCUGCCUCACAAUCCAGCCUUCAUGAAAAAGUCCACUUCUCACUAUUUGUCCACUUGAAGGGGAAAAUACAGCUCCAACCGGCACCAAGGCUCCAUCAUCAAGCCCAAGGCAAGGAACUGUCAGCAAAUGAAACCGCGAGCCUUUUCUGUUUGGGGUCAUGACACGUGUCAAGGUCAUCUGUCAACAGAUGCUUGCAUGGCAUACCGCAUGGCCUCGGCACUAGGUAGUCCCUGGCUCCUUUCAGACCCCUGCCCAUCAAAGAUCUACCCAAGCCCUCUUUUGUCUCUCUGGUACUCUCCACAAAGGAAUGUUCUAGCCAGUAGUAGCCAGCUACUCGUAUCUUUCUGCACAGCACUUCCCCUAGCAUUUCCCAGCUGGGUGGCCACCCCCUCCCUUAAAGGCAAAAUGUUUCAGGGGAAGUGAACCCCACCCCAAUGUCCAGAUUCAGUCUCUUACAGGAUGAGGAAAAUUCUCUCCCCAAGGUAAAUUUAUUUCUUUAGCCACAGCAAGUGACUCAGGAAUGGGCAUGUCUCCCAGUUCACUGCCAUGGGAGAGGCUUGCUAGGAAACCUAGGAUUCCUUGCGUCUCAAGACUUCUGAAAACGAAGCAUCAGGUGGUACCGUGGCCAUCUUGCCACCAAGAAGGCAAAAAGCCUUGAAAUGAAGGAAGAGUAAGGGCGCACUGGCCCAAUGUGACGUGACAGGUCCCAUUUGUGAGCCUGCGGCAGGAAGCUCUUCAGUAGAGAGUUACCUGGGCUGUAUGAAUUCCAGGCCGGCCUGGGUUACACAGAGAGAAUCUGUCUCAAGAAAUAAAGCAAAGUGGAGCAAAACAACAGAAAGUCUCUGGGGCCUUGGAGAAUUCCUGACAGUGACUGAAUCUAACCAUUGUUAAACGCCCAAACUGGGCACUUAGAUGAAUUACUGGACCUCAUUAUUACGUGUCCACUUGAGGUGGGUAGUCUAUAAUCCCGACCAGUGACACCCCGACUAUGGCAUGCCAGGAGUGAUCUGGGACUUUAGAAGUCCCAUUGGCCAAGGACAAACUUCCCUUGUAGCGGACCUUAAUGGCAUGGCUAGCUAAAAAACACCAUCUGAGUUGCGCUAACUGGAUGGGCACCUUACUGCCCAUCCACCCAGACAUAGGUUUGUGCGUGUAUGUGCAUGCACGUGUACAGUCUGGAGGCCAGAGGCCAACACAAGAGUGACUUCAACGACUCUCCAUCUCACUUUUUGAGGCAGGUUCUCUCCCUGAAUCUGGAGCUCACUGAUGUGGUUAGGCUGGCUGGUUAGCUAGCAAGCCUCUGGUCUCUCCCCACACCUAACCCUGCUGGGACCACAGCUGGGUGUCUGGCUAGAUCAUAGACAGGUCCCUAGGUUUGUACUUUACUGACUGAACCGUCUUCCCUAGUCCUAACAUGUUGCCUUUCGGAAUUCACGCUCAGACCCUAGGGCCGAGUGGACACCAAGUGCUAAGGUUCUAUACCUUUGGGGCUGCUGUGUGGUUCUGCUUUCUCAAGGCCAGCGGUGCACCCCUCUGUCAGUCAGAUGCUCUAGUGCACUGUCUGUGAUAUAGCCUAGUGUUAGCCCAGAUGCUGUCAAGGCACCCCUCCUCCAUUUUGUCUUUUCUGUUCAAUGAGAGAAACUGGCCGUGCAUGCUCUAGACCAGUGGCUUUCAACCUUCCUAAUACUGCAACCUUUUAGUAUAGUUCCUUAGGUUGUGGUGACCCCCCACCCCCACCAUAUAAUUAUUUUGUUGCUACUUCAUAAUGGUGAUUGUAUUACUGUUAUGAACCAUAACAUAAAUAGCUGGGUUUCCCUAUAGUCCUAGGUAACCUAUAAAAGGGGCGUUUGAACCCUACAGGGGUCAUGACCCAUCGAUUAGGAAUUGCUGCUCUAGAUGUCCACCCUCACCAGAGGCAGGUGGGCACACAGCAAAUGCCCAAAAGCAGUUGGUGUCACCAAAGGCCACACCCAAUGAAGCUCUCCUGACCUUGCCAAAGCUCAAAGUGUCUCUCCCGCUCUCCCAUUCCACCAUCUGCUUCUUAGUUUUCUCAUGGUAUCACUUAGGCUCUCUAGUUUGCAGGUUUUUAGUGUCAUUUGGACUAGUUCUGGUCGGUUGAUUUUUUUCUUUUUUAUUAUUUGUUUGUUUUUAUUGUUGUUUUGUUUUUGAGACAGACGCUUGCUUUGCAGCCCAGGCUGGCUUUGAACUUGAAGUCCUCCUUCCUCAGUCUCUCAAAUGCUAAGAUUAUAGAUAUGUACCAACCCGAGUAGUGCUUCGAGGGGUAGAGCUGUAUAUUCACUAUUCACCUUCCUGUCAAAUCCCUAACACACAAUAAAUGUUCCCUGACGGAACGGCCUCUGUAAAGUUCAUAGGCACGAGUCCUAUAAAUUUGAAGCAUUUAGCCCUCAAGCCCUAGAUUCUCUUAGAGGAGGGUAAGAUCAAAAUAUCUUUCUUCAUGUCAGAGUCAGAGAUAUAGUAAAGCUCUAAGAUUUCAUUAAACUACGAUAAAAAACUGCGCUUAAUGUCAUGUAAGAGGAACCCUAUAAAAGUCACAGAAAAUAAAGCAAAUCUCAUUUAGAACAA